GACGAACGCUGGCGGCGUGCCUAACACAUGCAAGUCGAACGGAACUGUUUUGAAAGAUUUCUUCGGAAUGAAUCUGAUUUAGUUUAGUGGCGGACGGGUGAGUAACGCGUGAGUAACCUGCCUUCAAGAGGGGAAUAACAUUCUGAAAAGAAUGCUAAUACCGCAUGACAUAUCGGAACCACAUGGUUUUGAUAUCAAAGAUUUUAUCGCUUGAAGAUGGACUCGCGUCCGUUUAGUUAGUAGGUGAGGUAACGGCUCACCAAGACCGCGAUCGGUAGCCGGACUGCGAGGUUGAGCGGCCAAAUUGUGACUGAGCCACGGCCCAGGAUCCUACGGGAGGCAGCAGUGGGGGAUAUUGCGCAAUGGGGGCAAGCCUGACGCAGCAACGCCGCGUGAAGGAUGAAGGUUUUCGGAUUGUAAACUUCUUUUAUUAAGGACGAAAAAUGACGGUACUUAAUGAAUAAGCUCCGGCUAACUACGUG
rnacentral:rRNA from 1 species